GGUAGGGACAUUACCGAGUUUACAACUCCCAAACCCAAUGUGAACGUUACCAAACUGUUGCCUCGGCGGGAUCUCUGCCCCGGGUGCGUCGCAGCCCCGGACCAAGGCGCCCGCCGGAGGACCAACCAAAACUCUUUUUGUAUACCCCCUCGCGGGUUUUUUAUAAUCUGAGCCUUCUCGGCGCCUCUCGUAGGCGUUUCGAAAAUGAAUCAAAACUUUCAACAACGGAUCUCUUGGUUCUGGCAUCGAUGAAGAACGCAGCGAAAUGCGAUAAGUAAUGUGAAUUGCAGAAUUCAGUGAAUCAUCGAAUCUUUGAACGCACAUUGCGCCCGCCAGUAUUCUGGCGGGCAUGCCUGUCCGAGCGUCAUUUCAACCCUCGAACCCCUCCGGGGGGUCGGCGUUGGGGAUCGGCCCUGCCUCUUGGCGGCGGCCGUCUCCGAAAUACAGUGGCGGUCUCGCCGCAGCCUCUCCUGCGCAGUAGUUUGCACACUCGCAUCGGGAGCGCGGCGCGUCCACAGCCGUUAAACACCCAACUUCUGAAAUGUUGACCUCGGAUCAGGUAGGAAUACCCGCUGAACUUAAGCAUAUCAAAA
rnacentral:rRNA from 1 species